GACGAACGCUGGCGGCGUGCUUAACACAUGCAAGUCGAACGAUGAACCACUUCGGUGGGGAUUAGUGGCGAACGGGUGAGUAACACGUGGGCAAUCUGCCCUUCACUCUGGGACAAGCCCUGGAAACGGGGUCUAAUACCGGAUAACACUCCUACAAGCAUCUGUGGGGGUUGAAAGCUCCGGCGGUGAAAGAUGAGCCCGCGGCCUAUCAGCUUGUUGGUGAGGUAGUGGCUCACCAAGGCGACGACGGGUAGCCGGCCUGAGAGGGCGACCGGCCACACUGGGACUGAGACACGGCCCAGACUCCUACGGGAGGCAGCAGUGGGGAAUAUUGCACAAUGGGCGAAAGCCUGAUGCAGCGACGCCGCGUGGGGGAUGACGGCCUUCGGGUUGUAAACCUCUUUCAGCAGGGAAGAAGCGAAAGUGACGGUACCUGCAGAAGAAGCGCCGGCUAACUACGUGCCAGCCGCCGCAGUAAGAC
rnacentral:rRNA from 1 species